UACGUAGGUGACAAGCGUUGUCCGGAGUCACUGGGCGUAAAGAGCGCGCAGGCGGUCGUUCAAGUCGCGUGUGAAAGCCCCCGGCUCAACUGGGGAGGGUCACGCGAUACUGAUCGACUGGAAGGCAGGAGAGGGUAGUGGAAUUCCCGGUGUAGUGGUGAAGUGCGUAGAUAUCGGGAGGAACACCAGUGGCGAAGGCGACUACCUGGCCUGUUCUUGACGCUGAGGCGCGAAAGCUAGGGGAGCAAACGGG
rnacentral:rRNA from 1 species